GAACAAAAAGAGCUAAUUUUUUUUUCUCUUGUAGCUCUGUUAUGGAUCUAUUUAAAGUAAUGUUCCUGUGGCUUGUUACUAGAUUUCGCCGGAGAAGAAAGUUACCAUCGGGACGCUGUACUUCUCCAGUUUCACGCUCGCUCUGGAUUUCCCUCCUGCCCCCCCUUCUCCCCCCAGCAGCACUAAAAGCAAAAGGAUGGUGUGAGGGAAACACAAAGAAGGUCCCUUGCAGAGAAACACAUCCUGACAUCAAGCAUUUUCAUCACGGCUGACAGAGAAAUGGCAUGUUCAAUUUGCACUUUAUUUACAAACGCUAAACAUCUACGCACACAUGCCUACCCACCUUUCAUAUCCCUGUAUCUGAAACCCAAGCGAGGAAAACAGCCCAUGCGCGUGAAGCAAGCGAGGGAAUGUGCCGCUGCCUCAUCCAGCACGUUUACAAAUGGACCAACCACAAAUACACCACAGGGAAAUGUGCUUCUCUGUGUGCCAAAAUGCCAGGAUGUUAAUUCACAGGAAGUCGUCUUAUGUAAAUUGGGAUCACUGGAAGUUAGAAGAACAUGGCCUGCCACCAGAUAUUCUGAGGUGAGUUCUGUCUGGAACGGCCCCAUCCAGGCCUGUGGGUUGAUAGAUGGAUUCUGUGUGCUGCUGAGGUAAUAUGUGGGGUGCUUCCAAUGCAAAGAGCUAAAUGAGUCAUUAUGAAGUCUUCAUUACUGCAGCUUCAACUAAUGGCUCAAAGAAAAGAUGUGUCAAGGUCUAGAAACUUUGUAGCCAAUGAGAGAGCAGAGAAAUAAUGAGGUAAGCUUGUCCAAUCUUUAGGUAGAUAAAAUUCUAAUGAGCUUCAGUAGGGGGUAAGUGCUUAGAGUUCACCUUCAUUGGUUCCAGGUGUGGAGAGAGAGAGGAGAGAGGAGAGAGAGAGGGGAGAGAGAGAGAGAGAGAGAGAGAGAGAGAGAGAGAGAGAGAGAGAGAGAGAGAGAGAAGGAUUUCAUUCCUAGAAAGCAUGUUUCUAUGUUCUUGUCAUGUGCUUGUUUAGACACUACUGAGUGUUAUGUUUCUGCAAAACACUUCAGAGUCUGACGGAAGCUGUGCAUUCUGUGAGUCGUGAAGCAGUACGCUGAACCCUCUAAUAACAGAUGUAAUAAAUGUAUUUUGACAUGUGUUUAAGAAGCACUUUUUCUCUUGAUGCUACAAUGUAAAGAUGUACAAUAGGAAACCCUCAGAUGUAUAGAUACAUUUGCAUGCAAGGGAAGUGAGUGGAGAUAUCAAGUGACUACAGGCAUCAGACAAGACUUAGUUUAAAACCUCACUGAAUCAAGGCAUUAAAUUCAACAUUGGUGAUGUCUAGAGAAGUUGCCUACUCAAUCCCAUGUGCUGUCCCUAGCCAUCUAUGAUGUCUGAUGGUGUUAAAUUUCUCCUAACAUUUAACCUAGAUCUGCCCUGUUGCACUCAAAGCUUACUACUUUUUGUUUUGUCUCCAUUGACUAGCGAUAAUAAUUGGCCUCCAUCCUCUUUGUAAUGCCACUUUACAGGGGUAAAAUAGUAUGUGCCCCUGAGUCUUCUUCCGUGUGAAUUGGACGUGUCUAGUCCUCCGAACCUUUCCUUAUGAGUCAUAUAUUUUCAACCAUUUAUCAGAAGUGCCCCUUGUUAGUUAGUUCUUUCUGUGAAUGGCAGGAUGCCCCAAACCCAGGAUCCAGACAAGAUAUGUCCUCAUCAAGCCAAACGGGAUUACCGAGCAAGGUUUAUUCAUGAAUGCCCCUUGGCAUAGCAUAACCAAGGCAGCUCCGUUUUUCUUAGCUGUCUUCUCGCCUAGCUUUUUAUUGCAUCCUAAACAGCAACCAUCACCUGGAGAGACAGAUUAAUGGCCUUUCUCUGUGAAGCUCUCUCACUCCUCUCAGCAGGCUUGCCCUUCCUGGAAUCAUUCUGCCAACUGAACCCUUGAUUCCUUAACAGGCUUCUUUAAAUGAAGCUCUUCUGCUGAGUGGUAAAGUUUCAUUUUUCAUAUUAUGGGGUAAAGAAGCCCACCUGAUCUCCCUUUCCUUAAUUCUUUUUCCUUUUUAAGAGUUGUUUUCAGUUCACAACAAAAUGAUCAAAAGGCACAAUGAUUUCCUGUAUACCUCCUGUGUACAUGUGGAUAUCUGCAUAUACAUAUGUGAAUGCCUAUGGAAACACACACAACCACAAGCACCCCCACCAAGAUGGAAGCCAGUGCCUGGAGUUUGUGUUGAAUGCUGUGUUGGUGUUGGCCAUUGUGUGGCUUUCAGCAAAUGUAAGAGCACGUGCCCACCUUGUUUCACAGAGGGUCACUCAGUUGGCCUAAGAGUCAUUCGGAGAGACCAUAUGCCUUCCUUCCACUAGUGCCAAGAAGCCUCUGAUCUCUUAACUAGUACCAUGGUUUCUGCUCAUCCUGAACUUUAUUAUAUUUGCGGUUAUGAAUUGUGUAGCCAUGUAUGAAGAUGAACUUUUAGUUCUCGAUGGCAAGGCCUGCUGAGAAUCAAGGUCUUCUGGACAUGGCACAGCCUUUGUGCUCCUGAACUCAUAGCAGCCGUGGUUAUCUGCAUGAGACACACGUAUCUCUGUUCAGCGUGUUGGUGUAACUGAGAUAAAUGCCAAGCUGGCUCCCUGCUGUGCGUGGUCCGACACCCCUUGGCCAUAGAGAUUCCAGCUAUUUAAGUUUGGAAAUGACAUUUCUUCACACGUCUUCCAAGAUAGCAAUGUAUGUCAAUCACCGGGAGCUCUGCCAAUGACAAUGCCAAUGGAUUUGAAUUUCCCAUUCAUGCUAGGGUGAAGGGGCUAUCUCUUUGACUUCUCCGACUGGGGCCUUUCAUCUCACCCAGGAAAGUUUAUUUCCCAAGGAAUUUUCUUUGUGGUCUCAAACUUGAAUGACCUUCCUUUUAUAACCUCUGAUAUCACCCAGGGUUUUAUUGCCAGGAAGUACCUCUUAGUUGACAUGCUUAAUACUGGGUUCCUGUGAUCUAUUCUAGGGAACCCCGAAACUUAGAGAGAAAACUGAGGAAAAUGAUCUGGUUUCCAGGUUUGGGAAUACCACUGAACCACUGACCCUUAAGGAUACAUGGAAAAAUAACCUGUAACAUUCAAAUUCUACAAAAUACAUUGUGUUCAUACAACCGGAAGGUAUCUCCAUAUAUCAAUAUGAUUGUGGAGUUUUGUGAAAUGCUGUGUGCAUCAUGGACGCCGAAAUACUGUGGAUACCUCUCAAAUGCAUAGCAAUUUGUCUCCAUGGGUCACUCACAAAUAUCAGAUGGUAAUAGGUCAAGUAUGAGGGGAGAGAGAUAAUCUGCACAACAGUCACGUUUCUCUCAUAUUUGCACACACCUUAGCCUUUAGGUGGCCCGAAGAUUUUUUCCACAUACGCAGUUUGCAAAUGUGGUUUGAAGGGGUGAGCGAUGCUAUUGUCAUCCAAGGGAAGGUAGUUUUAGGAAAAAGCAAGAGAUGUGAGCUUGAAGGAACAUUCUACCCAUCCUUCCUCUUUACCACACCCCAGUGACAAGAAGGAUACCUAGUUGGCCUCCCUAGGUACCCUCCUGUCCUGGCAGAAUAUCUAAGAGCAAUGCAGGGCUGCUUCCACCCACCUGACCAGCUCUCACAUC
rnacentral:lncRNA from 1 species